UUGCGUAUGACGAAAGUCUCGACAGAACGACGGAAGCCUCGACGGCAACUGCGCUCACGUGGAUCCCGCGAAAUAUGACAGAUAAAGUAGCUUGAAAGACAGCCCUUUUCACAGAUGACCGACGGCCACACAGACCUGAGACUUGGUGGUUGUGUGUUCUCAGGACAACAGGACAACAUAGAGGAGAACCCGUAGGUGAAGAAGGUAUCUGACAAGAUCUGUCACUCAGUACUGUUGUGGCGCCGCGUGCUACUCAAGGCAAGUUACAGGUGUCAACAUAGGGUGAAUGUGAAAGCUGUAAGCAGCAGCAGAACAUUUAACGUGUUGUUGUCAAGCUAAAAUGCUUGUGACUUUGAAGAGUGCCGGUGGGGAGAAGAGCAAGAGCACUUUGGAGGUGUAUGUAGAGCAAGGAGAGUGGUGUGGACCACAGUGACAGACCAACUCUAUUCACAAUGGUCAAAGAAAUUUUGUACAUGGCAAGAGUACCCAUUCAGGAAUUACAUUAAACAGCUGUACAACCGAAGGGAGUGUCCGUAUAACUGCCUUAAUAACUGACUGACAUUAGGUUAAAUAGACACUCUUCUCACCAGAGGAAACAACACCAACAAUUUUGUGGAAGUGCGAGUCCUCAAGGACAAGAUACUGCAGAGGACAAAGGCCUUAAAUCCUCCUCAGAUCUUCGACCUCCUGACAUCAAGGCUGGAGAUCUACUACGAGACAUGCAUUGUUGAUGUUGCCCUUGGAGGCUCGAAAUCAUUCCAGAAAUCCAGAUUCCUUCCCCAAGAUGGCAACAUUACAGCAUCGCAAAUUCAGCAGAUUGAGUAGUAGAAGCUCGUGGUGAUGAUGUCCACACAAACCUAUGUUGUGGAUGUGGAGCUGGAGCUGUGUUCAUGCCCUGCAGGACAAACUGGGGCACCAUGCAAAUGUCAGGCAGCUGUUGCUAAAAUCUACAGCUGUUUGUCCAACACUUUCCUUCCAAGUUGUACUGACAGGACAACAGGCCCAACCCUCCACAAGUGCUGCUGCUGAUAGGCUACAAGAAGAUAUCACAUUCAGGUGUUGUGUCUUUGUGGAGGACAUCAUGGAGGAUAUGAAAAGAUGCUCUCUUCACUGCUGGGCUAAUGGCAAUGAAUAGGCAGUACCAGCACAAAGACCAACCCCUACAAACUGCUGUCGGCCAUUCACACUUUUUGUAGAUCUUUGAACAGCAAAAGGGCUGCCACAUUAAGGCUGGCUGCCAGGCAUCAAGACCCAAUGAUUGGCUGCCAGCCUACUGCUGAGGCACGCAGCAAGUCGGGUUCUGGCUCAAAGAGGUGUCUUUCAGCUGGGCGCCCUUUGAAACAGCACAGCUUGAGUACAUCAGUGGCUUUGAACAUCACCCUUUCCAAAAAACACUGAGGAACUCCACCUCCUCUCAUCCCUCUCCUUAAAAGCAGGUCAUUGGGUUUAGAUGUCCUCUACCCCCUCUCAUCCCUCUCCUUAGAGGUAGGACAUUGAGAGAGGAGUGAGAGGGGGAGGAAGGGCAUCAGAAAUCAACUUUCAUUCAUAUUAACUUCUUAAAAGUUUAAAAACUGAGUAAAAUUUGUACUAACUGCAAAGUGCACAGCAUCUUUGUAAAAGAGUUAGCUUAGUUACCGUUUGACUUUUACAUUUUUCUAAAUUUUUGUGUUGCAUGUUUCUAUUUGGCCACUUUACACUGAACAAAAUAGUGGGAAAUCACUGACAGACAAGGUCAGUUGAGGAUAGAGUGCACUUACAUCAUACACGCAUUGUAAAUUAAUUUGGUUGUUGCAAAUUAUGUCACAGAAAUUUAGGUUGCAGCAAGUUUCAUCUUAUUUAUCUUAAUUUUAUAUUGUGUGCAAUUAACAUAU